GUGCUCGCUUCGGCAGCCCAUAUACUAAAGUUGAAAUGAUACGUUGAAGAUUAGCAUGGCCCUGGAGCAAAGAUGACAUGUAAAUUUGUGAAGUGUUCCAUACUUUA
ensembl:snRNA U6 U6 spliceosomal RNA